rnacentral:rRNA from 1 species
AGUCGUACAAGGUUUCCGUAGGUGAACCUGCGGAAGGAUCAUU